UACGAAGGGGGCUAGCGUUGCUCGGAAUCACUGGGCGUAAAGAGCGUGUAGGCGGCUAGAUAGGUCCGUUGUGAAAACUCGAGGCUCAACCUCGAGACGCCGAUGGAAACCAUCUAGCUAGAGUCCGGAAGAGGAGAAUGGAAUUCCUGGUGUAGCGGUGAAAUGCGCAGAUAUCAGGAAGAACACCCGUGGCUAAGGCGGUUCUCUAGUACGGUACUGACGCUGAGACGCGAAAGCGUGGGGAGCGAACAGG
rnacentral:rRNA from 1 species